rnacentral:rRNA from 1 species
UACGUAGGUGGCGAGCGUUGUCCGGAUUUACUGGGCGUAAAGGGCGUGCAGGCGGUUUGUUAAGUGCAGGGUGAAAGCUCCCGGCUCAACUGGGAGAGGUCCUUGCAUACUGGCGAACUCGAGGGAGGCAGAGGAAAGUGGAAUUCCCGGUGUAGUGGUGAUAUGCGUAGAUAUCGGGAGGAACACCUGUGGCGAAGACGGCUUUCUGGGCCUUACCUGACGCUGAGACGCGAAAGCGUGGGGAGCGAACCGG